UUAUCGUUAGUUGCCAGCGGGUCGAUGCCGGGAACGUACUAACGAAAACUAGCCGGUGUAAACCGUGAGGAAGGUGGGGAUGACGUCAAAUCAGCACGGCCCUUAUGUCCAGGGCUACACACGUGUUACAAUGGCCGGUACAGAGGGCAGCUACCUGGAGACAGGAUGCGAAUCUCCAAAGCCGGUCUCAGUUCGGAUCGGAGUCUGCAACUCGACUCCGUGAAGCUGGAUUCGCUAGUAAUCGCGCAUCAGCCAUGGCGCGGUGAAUACGUUCCCGGGCCUU
rnacentral:rRNA from 1 species